rnacentral:rRNA from 1 species
AUUGAACGCUGGCGGCAUGCUUUACACAUGCAAGUCGAACGGCAGCGCGGGCUUCGGCCUGGCGGCGAGUGGCGAACGGGUGAGUAAUACAUCGGAACGUGCCCAGUAGUGGGGGAUAGCUCGGCGAAAGCCGGCUUAAUACCGCAUACGACCUGAGGGUGAAAGCGGGGGAUCUUCGGACCUCGCGCUAUUGGAGCGGCCGAUGGCAGAUUAGCUAGUUGGUGGGGUAAAGGCCUACCAAGGCGACGAUCUGUAGCUGGUCUGAGAGGACGACCAGCCACACUGGGACUGAGACACGGCCCAGACUCCUACGGGAGGCAGCAGUGGGGAAUUUUGGACAAUGGGCGAAAGCCUGAUCCAGCAAUGCCGCGUGUGUGAUGAAGGCCUUCGGGUUGUAAAGCACUUUUGGCGGGAACGAAAAGGACUGUGCCAAUACCACGGUUCGAUGACGGUACCCGCAGAAUAAGCACCGGCUAACUACGUG